rnacentral:lncRNA from 1 species
GUAGUUAGAUGCUGACAUAUCUUCUUUUAGAUGCUGACAUACCUUCUUUUGGUUUACACUGUCAGCUUCAAACCCUUGACAUGGACGAUUAUAUCCAGGCUAGAGCAGAGCGCAUCUUGGCCCAGCUUUUCUUCAGGAAGCAAAGUGAGUUUAACAAGAGCCCCCAGUUUAAGGAAGACCAGGAAAGAGGCCGUCCCCACUUGCUGAAGGAAUGCAACAUGUCAUCCACAUGCUGAGGAUUCCAGAGAUUGCAGAGCAACUUUGACUUCUUCAGGGCUCCAGAGCAGCAGCAUGGUGGACAGUGUGCUUAUCGGCAGCAUGGGCUGCCAGGCCUGGAAAAUGGGAUAGUACCUGGCAGAAGAAGCCCUGGUUCCAGACAUAAUCAUGAUACCUAGUGGCAGCAGCAGGAGCUGGACAAUGCAGACCUCCCUGGAAGAAAUGGCACGGGUGCUUGUCAUGAAGCAGCUCCCAGUGGGCAUGGCAGCACUUGAUGGCACCAGAGAUGGUGGCUGGGGGACUUCAUGUGAUACCUAACUGGGCUUGCCUUUGUGAGUCCAUUUGAGGCAGCCCUUGGAUAUUCUAAAAAGUAUACAAGGGGGCUUUGAGGGGCUUAGGGACCUGUGUGGCAGGCAACGUUAAGAGCCAGAAAAAUAUGGAGAAUGAGUAUUCCUAUAAUCUUCUGUACCCAUGAGUGAAGGUGUGCCCGAAGCAACAUGGGUUACCAAGUGAGGGGAUUAUUCCCAAACUGGCCAUCGGAGCAGUAGAAGAACAAGACCAUUUGCUACUGCCUCUGGGGUUAUCUCUUCAUUUCAAAGUAUUUUAGUAGGACCAACACACAUACACACACACGCUCAUACACACACAGAGAAGUAAUCUGGGACACGGGGUUAAAGAAUAUUGAACAGGUUUUCUUUCUUACACAGACCCUGUCAUACAGGCAUACAGGGUCUCUGGUAUCCUGAUUCAUUCAAGUCGUGGACAUUUGGCUAGGGAUUGAGAACCCUGUAAGACACAAAAAUUACACCGUGGCUGGUUCAGGUUCUAGGGCUAUAAAAAUGACAGUAAGACAGGGCUUAAGUAACUUUCAUUUUGGUUUUCUAGUGCAUUGCUUUCCUCCCUUUCUCCUUCCUUCCUUUCCUACAUUUCUUUCUUCCUUCCUUCCUGGCUUGCAUCACCUCCAAAUAAUUUGAAAACCUAUAUAUUUCCUCUUACAUUUAUGUUUUACAUAGAAAUAUUAAAAAUUGUAAACUUAAAUAGUUGCAAAUGACAGUUAUCAGAUUAUUGCAUAUUACAUCUGUGCUUCAAAUACAUUUUUUGAAGCUACAGAAGGAAGCUACAAGGCAGGCAGGCAGGCGGGAAGGAAGCAAGGAAGACAAUGCAUUAGAAAACCAAAGUGAAAGUUACCCAAGUUAUCUCUUCAUAGAAUGUGUCCACCACAUAAUUAAUUGAGAAACCAUUCUCAUCAUCAACCCAAACAGCCAGAUUAAGCUUUCUUUCUGACAAAAAGGGGCUUCCUUGAUCUUUUAAAAUUCCAUUCAAAUGCAUUCCUGGGAUAAUCAUCCCACUUCUCAACUCUCAUCUUAAAAUACAGGGAAGAAGAGAGAGUAUAAGGAACGGGAAUACAAACAGGCUGGGAGACUCACCUGAGUUUGUCGUUUGGAUGCAGUGAGACUGUGCCUCCUCCAUAUUUCCUAUUUCACUGGCUUCAUUUGCCCUCGCAGAGCUCUUCCUCAGGGGUCAUGCUUUUUCAAAUUGCCCGUGGUUUUAGUGACCUGGAGGUCUUCCUGGCCUGAGGUGAUGCUCCACAGUAAAACUGGAGAAGGUCAUGCAGUUCUUCUGUGAGGAGGGAGAGGAGGAUUGUAACAGGGGCGGUGAUGGAGGGGACCCUGCCUCGCCAUCAGAGGCUGUGCCCGGACAAUCACUUUUAAGAAAAGACACCGAUGUCGAGGACCCGGACCUUGAUUCCUUCCACAGUGUCCAGCCCAUGUAUUCCCCUCCCAGCCUUUGUAUGCUCACUGUAUCUGGCUGGUAGAGAGAAUAAGUUGAUGAGCUGCAUUGAGGAUCAGGUAGAAUCCUCUAUGUAAAUUAACCCAUUGAAUCCUCACAAAGAUCUUAUAAUUGUCCUAUUAUUAUCCUCAACAUCCUAAUUUCUUAGAGAGAAAACUGAGGCAUAGAGAGAUUAAAUACCAACAGCCAAGCCCAUACUUGAACUUAGGCAGCCUGACUCCAGGGCCUUGCACUUAACCAGUGUCCUACGCUGCCACCAAAACACAGAGUCAUCUUUUAUUUCUUAACUUUUUCUUUGCUAACAACAAAAUUUAUACACUGUCCAGUAUAGAAAACUUGGAGUUCUCAAGGACAAUUUUGUUGGGAGAAACAUUAUUUUAUUUCACUGAAAAUGAGUAUAUCUGCGACAAUGUUUUUGAAGCGAUUAGUGAAAGCAAUAUUCCAGGAAAACUAGUAAUUUAUUUUUUGCUAAUAAUUCUCAAGAGUGAUAAUAUUAGGAUCUUGAGUCCUAAACUCAUGCGUAAGUAACUAAUUAGGAGAAAAAGAGAAAAAGGAAAAAGGAAGCAAAGGAGACAAGAGGAUGAGGCCUUGAAAACACAGAGUAGAAAAACAACAUAUGUCGAAUUUAUUUUAACACAACUCACUUAAAUUCAGUGCAUAUUGUGAGCAGUGUUUACCAAGAUAUUUGAAUUUUCAGAGAAUUUUAUUUCUAUUAGUAUAUUAUUUCAAAAAAUAUUGUCAGGUAUUUGUACAUUUAGAUAUCAUCUUUAGGGCAAAAUAGCUACCAAUGGACUUUAAAACAAAUCAUUUAUAUAGCCAGUAUGUUGAAAAAAAAAUAUUAGGUUUUUGGGCCAAAAAAUUAUAUUUAUGCUUAAUUCUUAUUUAUUAAAAAAGUCACAUGUAAGUAUAAAUCAGUUGAAAAAAUACAGAGAGCUAUAGUAAAGUGAUUACAUGAGCAACAAUAACAACAAUUUACCGUUGUAAUGGUUGGGUGUUUUAUCUCUCCAGUAAAAUCUACACACCUUCAAACAUUUAGGGCACCUUUUGAGGAGGGAUGAAGAAGUUAGUGAACACCUAAUGAUAAUUAUAUUAAAUUGCCAACACAAUUUUCAGUGUGACACUGAAAAAAAAUUCUAAUACUAGGUGGCAAGUUUAGAUGGAGAAAAGGGAGCUUGCUUAAGGAGAACUAGACAGACAUUUCGAAAAUUUGAGAAGUUUCACAGUAAAAAGUCUUAGUGUAUAACUGCUAUUUAUAUCUUCCCUUCCUGCCUUCCUUCUCUCCUUCCUUCAGUCCUUCCUGCCUGCCUUCCUUCUCUCCUUCCUUCCUUUCCUUUCUCCUUCUCUCCCCCUUCCUGCCUCCCUUUAUUUCUUUCUUUCAUUUUUAAACUUUAUUGGGAUAUAAUUGACAUAUAAAUAUUUUAUAUAUAUAUUUAAAGUAUAUGACUUGGUGUUUUGAUAUACAUGUACAUGGUGGGAGAAGGAAAUGGGGAGAUGUUGGUCAAAGGGUGCAAAUGUUCAGUUAUUCAAGAUGAAUAAGUUCUGGAGAUCUUGAACAUGGUGACAUGUUAAGAUCUCCUGAACUUAAUAAAAAUUGACAACUAUCCAGCAUGGUGACAGUAGUUAAAAAUACCAUAUUGUUUGCUUGAAAUUUACUAAGAUGAUAGAUCUUAAGUAAAAUCUUCUUACCACAUACACACAUGCUAAAGUGGUAACUACAUAGAGGUAAUAGACAUAUUGAGUAGCCGGAAUAGAAUGAUUCCUUCUUUCUUUCUUUAGCACAUAUUCAUUGAGUGACUACUCCAGGUAUUGCUAUAGGCAAUAAGGUUCAAUAGCGAUCAAGGCAGAUUACGUUCCUGCCCUCCCGAGGCUUACAUUCUAAUAUAAUACAUCUCUAAUACUGUUUCCAUUUCCUUCAUUUUUGCUGCCAUCCCUCAUUAAUAAACCUGGGCUAUUGUAAAUAGACUUCUGACUGGUUCCCUGGACUUCAACUUUCUCUCUCUACUCUGUUUAGCAUGCUGCCAGCAAUUUAAUUUUUUCAAUAUAUUGCUUAGCUAAUUUCUUUAUAUAGUGAAAGCCAUAAUACUAUCAACCUCAUAUGAUUAUCAUGACACUUAAAUGAAACCUACAGGUAGACAGCACAGUAGGUCCUCAUUGAAUAUUGGCCCAUGUUGUUAUUCCUAAGUCUGCAUUGGCUUCUUCCUCUCCACUAGGGAGGAAGCCCCUCAUCCAUCACUGGAGCUCUCCAAAGUUUUGGUUAGGGUGUGGCAUAUGACAUGUUAGUGCAGUUCCGUUUGGUUUAGAGUUUAUAACCUAUUUGGGUUCACAUAUAAAAUA